UACGAUAAUUUUAGCGUUUGAUAGUUCGGUAUUAUGUUGUGCUCGCAUAAUGUUAAGAAUGGAUCAGAUUGGAUCUCAAAGUUAAUAGUUGAUAGCCCAUUUUUUUCUAAUCUGCAUAUCAAACACAUAUUAAACAAUCAAGAAAUAUUAAUCAUAUAACUUUAUCUAUUUUAGAUGCUUAAAUUGUUGACAGAAAAUGGCUUAUAUUAGUAAAAUUUUCGACGAUCGUGGAUAUAAAGACAUUAAUGUGAUAAUCGGUAUAAAAUUUAAAAUUAUAGAUUUUUAAGCACUCAAUUUGAGCAUUGACAAUUAGACAAUUGUCUGUUUAUAUUAAGUUCUUCCCCACUCUAGUCAUAUAAGAGCUGCGAGGAUAAUGUAACUGCGUAUGAUGAAUCUAACUACCUACAUUUUUGCAGAGAUCUUCAAAAGAAAACUGGGAGCCCGCAGGUCCUCCAUGAAAAGCGGGAAACAAACGGUGUGCGGACUUGCUAGCAAACGAGGACACUAAGUUAGGAAGUAACUGUUUUUGGAAGGAAUGGACAGUUCCACCUUUUUUUGUUCAGGACUGGUACUAAGCAAAUAAGGAUGGAACUUCUUUUGUAGGGCACUAUCAAGAUGCCCCUAGCUAUGUAUGUACUACUAAUAUCUUUACUAAUGACGUUAGGCCAGAACUUUCUCCGGCUAGUCAUGAGCCGCCUACUUGUAUUACCAACUCUAUUUAGCUAAUGUAAUAUAACCCCUUUUAACCAAAAAAAAAAAAAGAGUUGUAAGGAACAGGAACUUAAUAUAAACAAAUAAGUGCUUGAUUGUCGCUGCUCUUGUGUGUUUAAGGAUCCAUAAUUUUCACUUUUAUCACGAUCAUAAUGUUUUUCUUUAUAGUUACGAUCCUCCCAAGUUUCACCUGUGUGAGUCAUUUUCUUUCAACAAUUUAAGCACUCGAAAUAAAGUUAUAAGAUUUAGUAUUGUUUGGUUUUUUAUUUUGCAUGUUUGAUAUGUGUAUUACGAUGAUAAGGACUCCAACUAUUGACUUUGAGAUUCAUCUUCAACAUCAAUGUAAAAAAAAUAAUUGACUAUCAAAAUAAAAUUCAAUUUUUUUCAAAAUGAAAUACAACAUAGUCUAGACUUAACAAAUUUUCUUCAUUUUUUUCAAGAUCCAGCAACUUGUCUUAACCAUAUAAACAAGAACAUAAAUUUUAUUCGAGAUAUACACUAGUUCACUUUAAAUUUUGUGAUUUUACAUACUUAUUAAAUGAAAAUAUAUCACAACUUCAAAACUUAUUAAGAACCUAAUAAUAAAAUCCUGCAUGUUUUUUCAAACAUUAACAAGUAGAGACAUGAAAAAAUAACUUGAAUAAUAUAAAGGAAGAAAAUAGAUCUUACUAAUUUCUUUUUAGGACUUAUACAUAUAUUUUAACUAGUAUAAAAUUGUGUAUAAUAAUUAUUUGUUUCAAUUUGUGAUAUGAUAAUUACUUGUUUGAGUUUGUGAUUUAGUUUACUCAAGCAUAAAUUGUAUUUGUAAUUAUUUGUGUUAAAUUCUUGAUAUGAUAAUUGCUUGUUUGAAUUUGUGAUAUGGUAAUUGUUUGUUUGCGUUUGUGAUUUAUAAGCUAAAUGCCGAUUGUAUUAUUGCUUUGAUGUAUGUGAAGUUUAUAAUUUUUUGUUCGAGUUAGUGAUUCAUACACUGAAUGAUGAUUUUAUUAUUGUUUUGAUGUAUGUGAAGUUGAUAAUUGCUUGUUUGAGUUUGUGAUUUAUAAGCAAAAUGAUGAUUUUAUUAUUGCUUUGAUGUAUAUGAAGUUGAUAAUUAUAAAUUAUGUGUUUGAGUUCAUGUUUUAUAAUGUUGAUUUUAUUACUGCCUUGAUGUAUAUGAAGUUCUAUUGAAGUACGACAGAGAGACACGUGAGCAAGAUUCGAGAGAGAAUAACGCUUCAGGAAUAUGAUGUAAAUAGUUUAAUCUAAUGUAAGUUGAAUUAGUAUUUAGUAAUUGUUUGUUUAGUUUGAUAAUUACUUCUUUGAAUUUGCCACUUAGCAAUUAAUUGCUUAAAUAUGAGAAUUAAAAAUUGUUUGUUCGAACUGGUGAAGUAAUUGUUUGUUCGAACUCGUAAUUUAUCAAUCAUGAUUUUCGUCUCCAUAAAGCCUAGAUUUGUGUUGUAGUACUUUUUGGUUUGAAUUUGUGAGCAAGUGGUUGUUUGUUUGAACUCGUAAUGCAUAAGUUAGGUGAUAAUUUUAUUAUUGUUUAAAGGCCUGUUUAGUUUUACUGAAAGAAUAGAGCAGAGAGACUGACUUCAGCACGAUUAGAGAAAAGGAGAUACUGUAAAUGAUGUGAUGUAAAUAAUCUAUUUUUGUUGCUAACAACACUGGUAAUUAUUUGUUUGAAUUUGUUGCUCAGUAAUUACUUGUUCAAAUUCAUGACUUUGUGAUUGCUUGCUCGAAUUCAGGACCUAAUAAAUAUCGCUUGAACUAGAAAUUUAUUGAUUAUACAAAAAUAAUAGAUCCAAAGGUGUUUAAUUGGUAAAAAAGAGUUCAAGUCAACGGAAAUGAAUCUAUACAAUCUUAAAAUUAUGAACUCUCAAUAAAAGUAAAUUAUUAUUUUUAUUCAAUGGUAGAAUAAGAAAGUUAUAAAUAGCGGUUUUUGCUUUAUUUCCUUUUCAUAAAACAAAAAUCUCUUUGUGAUAUCACGUGAUAGUUUAGGAAUAACAUAUAUAUGUUCAAAAAAAUAAUUUUAUUUGUAAAAAGACUUCACAGAUUAAUUUUUUUCCCUAAAAAAAUGGCUAUACUAUAUCCACAAGUAAAAAAUCAACACAAUAUCUCUUCAUAUUCAAUUCUUUUCUCUUUUUAGACCUAGGGGCGGACCUAUAGAUAAAAAAUGGGUGUUCGAGCACCCAUUUAUCUUAACUCGCAAUUGGUACAAUUAUAUUAGAAAUUGAAGAAAAAGGAUAUGAUAAAUCAGAAAGCAUCUACAGACAUUAAAUCUGACUUGGUGCGUUGGUUGUGGAAACUUUCAAGUAGGAGCAUGCGAGAGUUCAAAACCCAUUGAAGUUCUUUUUUAACAUAAUUUUUAGUUGUUUUGUUGCCACUGUUUGAUCUAAAUCCUAAUGCCGGCUUCAUAGAUAGUUUUUUAUCCCAAUGCUGGUUUCAUAAAUAGUUCUUUAUUCCAAUGCCAAUUUCAUAAAUAGUCCUUUUAUUUCCACUGUUUGAUUCAAAUCUCAAUGCUGCCUUCAUAAAUAGUUCAUUUGUUGCCGCUGUUUGACCCAAAUCCCAAUGCUGACCUCAUAAAUAAGCAAUUAAAGACACCAAAGUUUGACCCCUCAAUAUUUUUUUUUGGGGAUAAUACUCACAAAAAUACCUAAAGUUUGACCGGAUUACCAGUUGAGCAUAUUGAACUUUGCGGGGGUCCUACUACACACCUAUACUUUUUAAGUGGAAUUAAUCUGCCCCCCAGACUUUUUUAAAGUUGAAUUAAUUACACCCCACAAAGUUAUACCUAGUUUUGAUGUCGAAAGUGUAGUACACGCGCUUUGUCUUCUCCAUUUUAUCACUUUUCAAUAUUUUUCACCAUUAUAACCAUAUUAAAGAUUAAAAAACUCAAAUUCCUUCUACAUAUCAAAUUUCAAAUGAUUUCAUUGAGUCAAUUACAAAUUUCAUGUCCAAAAAAGUAGAAAUUCAAAUUCAAAUUUUAAUUUCUGACUAUUCAACACAACCUGUGGCACAUUGAACGCAAUGAAAUUGGAAAUUGAAUUUGAAUUUAAGUAUGAAAUUGAAUUUGAAUUUGAAAUUAUUCAAAGUUUCAAAUUGAAAACUUUCUUCAAGAAUUAUUCAAAUUUUCUUCUAGUUUCGACGAACAAUUUUUUCCCCUCUCUUAGUGGAUUUUCUUUUUUGAUUUUUCCCCUUAGUUGGUGGUUGAUCAAUGGUGGUUGGUUGGUGGUGGAAAGGGUGGGUUAAAUUUUGUCAUUUUGAUGUAGUUGAAGAUGACCCAUAUGGGGAGGAGGGUGUUGAAAUUUAAUCAAAUUGAUGUAAUUGAAUUGGGUGUGUUGAAUAUGACCAUUUGGGUGUGUAUGUUUGUGAUGAAAUUGUGUUCAAUUUCAAUUUAAUAAUGGAGCAACCAUUGUUGAAGACUCCAUUGUUGGAGAGAAUAAAGAAAGAAGAUAGAAGAGAAGACAGAAGAAUUAAAAAAAUAAAUAAAAAAUAUAAGAAUUAAAAAAUUUAGGGGUUGUUUGGCAAAAAAUAGGAGUUUUUAACGUUUUCUAACGGUUUCACGCGCUCAAUGCGCGUGACUAAGACAUAAUGGGCCAAGUGGCAGUUAUAUGCCAUUAAAAUACGAAGAAAAAAGUCUGAGGGGUAAUAGGACCCCCGCAAAGUUAAGUAUGUUCAACUGGUAAUCCGGUCAAACUUCAGGUAUUUUUCUAAUUAUUCUCCCAUUUUUUUUAUAUUUUGACAGGUAAUCCGGUCAAAAUUCAAAUAUUUUGGUGAGUAUUCAGAUAUAUGCCAAUUAGCGAAUUUUGCUUUAUUUCCCUUUUAUAAAACAAAAAUCUCUUUGUGAUAUCACGUGACAGUUUAGGAAUAACAUAUAUAUGUUCAAAAAAUUUAAUUUUAUCUGUAAAAGACUUCAUAGAUUAAUUUUUUUCCCUAAAAAAAUGGCUAUACUACAUCCACAAGUAAAAAAUCAACCCAAUAUCUCUUCAUAUUCCAUUCUUUUCGCUUUUUAGACGCAGGGGCGGACUUACAGAUAAAAAAUAAGUGCUCGAGCACCCAUUGAUCUUAACUCAGAAUAGGUACAAUUAUAUUAGAAAUUGAAGAAAAAGGAUAUAAUAAAUCAGAAAGAAAGCAUCCACAGACAUUAAAUCUAACUUGGUGUGUUAGUGGUGGAAACUUUCAAGUAAGAGUGUGCAAGAGUUCAAAUACCAUUGAAGUUCUUUUUUGACAUAAUUCUUAGUUGUUUUGUUGACACUGUUUGAUCCAAAUCCUAAUGUCGGCAUCAUAAAUAGUUCUUUAUCCCAAUGCUGGUUUCAUAAAUAGUUCUAUAUUCUAAUGCCGACUUCAUAAAUAGUUCUUUUAUUUCCACUGUUUGAUUCAAGUCUUAAUGCUGACUUCAUAAAUAGUUCUUUUGUUGCCACUGUUUGACCCAAAUCCCAAUGCUGACCUCAUAAAUAAAGAAUUAAAGACACCAAAGUUUGGCCCCUCAAUAUUUUUCUUUUUUUUUACCCUUGAACAUUAAUUUAACAAACAAUUAAAAUUCACGAUAUUUAUAAUCUAAAUAUGAAUAGUUUUAAUCAAAUUUCUUCAUUGUCAUCAUCAAAUAAUUGUACACCUAUACUAUAUAAUUAACAGUAACUAGAUCUUUUGUAAAAAAAUUGAGCACCCACGAACUCAGAAUUUUGAGUUCGCCGCUAUCUAGACCUUAAGUUUUUUCUCUUUAUCUAUAUAUCACGUGAAUUUAAUAGAACUCAAAAUGAGAACUUUAUCAACAAAUACAAAAUUCAUCAUUUAAUUCACUAGAAAAGCAUUAUAAAAUAUAACCUAAAAAGGAUAUACAAGAAACGUAAUGCCUUGAAGAAGAAAACAGUUGAUUAUAUUGAAUAAAAUAUGAUUUUGAAUCUUUAUAAUUUAUUUUGAAUUUUAUUUUCUCGUAAAUUAUACAAAAUUUAAUUUGAGAUGAUAAAAGGUAAGCAGUGCUAUGCUUGAUUUUGUGUGAACUAUUAAUCGUCGGUAAUAAUUGCGUUUGAACUACUGUUUAAAUUUCAAAAAUUGCAAUUUUCUGAUAAAACAUGUAAUAUUCUUUAUCUAUAAAAUUCUAGUAAAAAUAAUGAGUCAAAUACUACUACAAUUUUAAAAGAUAUAUAAUAUUUUUUAAAAUAUACUUCUCAAUAUAAACAAGUUUCGAAAGGUUUGUCAAAUAAUCACUUAGAUGGAUUUUUUUUUUCAAUUAAAAUUUUCUUAUUUAAUGCAAUGGAAAAAUAUAUUUUAUAAUUUUUCAUCAUAUUAAUAUGAUAAAAAUAUUUUUUAAAAUAUUACUUAAUUUAUUUAGAAACGAAAUAUGACAACUAAUUUGAAAUUAUCUAAUUCAAGAAGAUGUUAUAACACUUGUCAUCUCUAGUCACAUUUGUGACAUUUUUGUCUUUCCAAAACUCUUAUUCACUCAUUCCAAGAUUUCUAGCCAAUUUAUUAUCUUACUUUGAUGACUUGAGAAUGUAUCAUCGCGAUUUAAAGAUUUUAACAAAGUGAUAGUUAGACCGAUUAUAUUACAUGAAGUGGAAUGAUGAUCAACCAGGAAUUCUCAGACUCAAAAGAUGAAGAUAGCAGAAAUAAAAAUGCUUAGAGUAAUACAUUGAUCUACUAGAAGAUAAGAUUAAUAAUAAAGAUAUGUGGGACAAUGUGAAAAUAGUUUUCGAGAAGGACAAGAUGCAAGAACGGUGUUUAGAUUAUUCGAAUAUAUGAAGAGGAAAAACACAAAAGCCCUUGUGAUGAAGUGCGAGAGAUUGACAGUGAUAGGUCCGAGCAGAGGUAAAGAUCAAUCAGAGGCGGAGUGAGAACAACUAUUCAGGGGUUUCAAUAUCUACAAUAUAAAUAUAAAAAUUAUUUUAAUCAUAUAUUAAUAAUAAAAAUUUUCGUCGAAGGGGAUUUGGAUGAACCCCUUAUUAAUAGGCUGGCUCCGCCUCAGAGAUUAACCAAGGAAGAAUUACGGAGAAGUGAAUAGACAUAAUAUGACACAACCAUAGUUCAUAAAGAACAUGACCCUAUUCCUAGAUAGGAAAGUGAGGAGAACAAGAAUCAUAAUAGACGGUUAGUAAGUAAUAAAGUGUUUUUCUCUUUCCAGUGGUCUUGUUAGUGUUCGAGAUAAACUAAUAAAGAACUAUUAUUCGACGCUAAGAACAAUUGAUUCACAAUAAUUAGUGGUGGUUUAGCUAUACAUUAGAUCAUAACGAGUUUAAAUUAAAUUACUAUGUUCCAAAAUUGUUUCCUAUUGAAUUCAACCUGACUCAUAAUUGGAUAAAUUAUAUUAUGACAACUAUGUAUGCUUUCUUCUUUUUGAGGAGAGGGUUUGAACAUCAUCAGAAGCAAAUAUAACAAAAAGAUUUUUUGAGAUAUAUAGUUUUUUUUUUAAAUUAACUUUGGGCCUGACCCAUUUUAUUAAAUAAAAGAAGUAAUGUUUGUACAAAAUUACACAAGUGAGCCCAAAAAAUGAACAUAAAAAGAUAUCUGCACAGUCAAGACCCGAUCCACCAAUGGGUCUUGCCCUACUAUAAAAAUUCCCUAUAGUAAUGUUUUCUAAUUGUGACUUCCUAAGAUAAUCCUUAAAUGGCGCUGCUGGAAGCUCUCUCCAAUGACGAAUUUCCUAUACUCUUGUUUUGGGCCAUAAAUUUUCUCGAAGAUGAAGCAAGUUACGAGAUCUUCAUAUUUAGCUUGCAAAGGUGAGUCCAUUUCUAGUAUCCCGAAGCCCCUUUGCUAUAGAUAGAUAGUUCAAGAGGGUAUAUUAAUGUACAUCGUAAAUUGAAGAUUUUUCAAAUUCUACACAUUUACCAACUUUCCUGAAAAAUAAAAGAAAUAGAUCACUACUGACACUUCAAUAUAACGAACCACAUGACAACACUAACACUACUCUCUGCCUCUUCAAUCAACUACAUUCUUUCCGAAAUGUUAGUCGGAAGAACCUAGCUGGAAAAACAAGUUCCUUAAAAAUAAGGAAAAUAAUUUUCUUAAUGGAAGUAAGAAAAACAAGUUGUACAAGUGACAUUUUAUGUUUAUUAUGUCCUCCAUUUAACACCACCAACCCCUACCCCUUGACUAGGGGUGUCAACAGGGCGGGUUGGGUUGAGAUUGAAAAUAUUAAAUGAGUUGAAUUGGAUACUGGGUUGGGUCAUGACCCGCCCGAUUUGAGUCGUUUAGUCUAAAAAUAAAAAUUUAAUUUUUUUAAAAAUAUAAAUUCAUUUUUUCGGGAGGGGUGCACCGGGAGGUUGGGUGUUAGGAUGGGUAGCGGUAAGAAUUUUUUUAAGAAAACUAAUUGAUUUUUUUUAAAAAAAUAACUUUUUGAGAAUGGGGUAUGCCAUGAGGGUAGGGUAAGAAUUUUAAAUAAAUAAAUAAUUUUUAAAAAGAAUUAUUUUUUAAAAAAUAAAAAUUGGGAGCGUUGUGGGAUUUCGUGUGUGGAGGUAGGGAAGGGAUGGUUUUUGAGGUAAAAAAUUUUCAUUCUAAAAAAAAGACAUUUAAUUUUGUAAAAAACUAUAUUUUUUAGGGAAUGGGGUAAUGUCAUAUAGGGAGUGCAGGGGGUUGGGUAAAUUUUUUUAAUAAAAAAAUUAUUUAUUUAUUUUAAAAUAAUAUUUCUAAAAAAAUAAUUUUUUUGUAAGGAUUUGGGGAUAAGGCGAAGGGUAGAGGAUAGGAUUUUGAUCGUGAGGUAAGAAAAGAUUUGCAAUUUAAAAAAAAUAUUAAAAAAAUUAAUUUUUUGGGUGGAGGUGGGGAUGAGGGUGGGGGUCUGGGUAGGGAAGGGAAUGGGGAUGAGAUGGGGUGGGGGCAAAAAAAUUUAUAAUUUGUUUUUAAGAAAUAAAAAUAAUAUAUUUAAUGGAGGCAGGGUGAGUGGGGUAAGCUAGGAGUGUAGUGGGGUUGGGGUGAGGUGUUGUGGGUCAUUUUGAGAGUAGGAGGACAUAUUAUCGCUUGUUUUUCUGACUUCCAUUAAGAAAAUUAUUUUUUAUUAAAUGGGUUGAAGUGGAGAUUGAUUGGACUCAUUUGAACCCAAUUUAAAAAUGAGUUGAGAUUUAUCCAAUAGUAAAUUAUUUAUUAAACGGGUUGAAGUGGAGAUUGAUUGGGCUCAUUUGAACCCAAUUUACAAAUGAGUUGCGAUUUACCCAAUAGUAAAUUAUCUUGAACUCAACCCAUUAAAUAUUGGGCGAGUUGGACGGGUUAGCUCAAUUUGGGUUCAUUUUUACACCUCUACCCUUAACCAUCCCACCCCGUCACCCUCAACAACCCACACCCUAACCUAUCCCACUUCUAGAGCUUUUUGCUAAAUUUUGUAUAAAUGAUCUUGACGGCAAGGAUGCCUAAAGCUUGGAGUAGAUAUUCAGUCGUAUAAGAAUAAGUAUGGCAUUCAGGAUUGCAAUAAUUAUAGAGGUAUUAAGCUAUUGCGUCACACUAUGAAGGUUUGGGAGAGGGUGAUAGAGUUGAGGUUGAAUAGGAACGUUACUAUUUCUGAAAAUCAGUUUGUAUUUAUGUCAAUGCGUUCGACUAAUAAAUCCAUCCAUUUUGCUAGGAGAAUGAUGGAGUAGUAUACGGAAGGAAUGAAGGAUUUGCACAUAGUGUCUAUCCACUUAGAAAAGACUUAUGAUAGAGUUCCUAGGGAGGUUCUUUACAGGUGUUUGGAGGCUAAAGGUGUACCUAUCGUGAUUAUUAGGGUGAUUAAGGAUACGUACAAUGGAUCGAAGACUCGGGUUAGGACUAGGGGAGGUUACUCAGAGCACUUUCCCAUCUUGAUGGAGUUACACCAAGGAUUGAUGCUUAGUUCGUUCCCUUUUGCCUUGGUGAUGGAUGUUUUGACGUGGAAAAUUCAAGGUGACGUGCCUUAUUGUUUGCUUUUUUUGAAUGCUAUGGUCUUGAUUGAUGAGUCAUGUAGUGGAGUUAAUGCUAAAUUAAAGGUUUGGAUGCAAACCCUUGAGUCUAAAGGAUUUAGGUUGAGUAGGUCCAAGAUGAAAUAUAUAGAGUAUAAGUAUAACGAGGUGUAGCAUGAGUCCAAUAUGGUUGUUAAGCUUGAUACUCGUUCUAUUAAUAAGAGAUAUAGUUUCAAGUAUAUAGGGUCUAUGAUUCAGGAGAAUGGAGAGAUUGACUAAGAUGUCACUUAUCGAUUAGGGUAGGCUGGAUGAAAUAGAAGUUCGCCUCCAAAAUCUUGUCUGACAAAAAGGUACCUCCUAAACUUAAAGGCAAAUUUUACAGAGUGGUAGUUAGACUGAUUUUAUUGUAUGAGGCGGAGUGCUGGCCUGUUAUGAAGGCCCACAUUUAGAAUACGAAGGUAGUAGAGAUGAAAAUGCUUCGGUGGAUGUGUGGGUAUACUAGAAAAUAUAGUAUUAGAAAUGAGGUUAUUUGAGAUAAGGUAGCAGUGGCUUUAGUGAAAACCAAGAUGAGGGAAACAAGGUUGAGAUGGUUUGGUUAUAUGAUGAGAAGGGGCACAGAUUCCCAACAGCAAGUGUGGGGAUGGUUUCAAAUGAUGUAGAGGUAGACCGAAGAAAUAUCGGAAAAAGUUGAUUAGACAUGACAUGGAGCAGCUCCAACUUAUCGAGGACAUGAACCUAUAUAGGAAGUUAUGGAGGAGGCACAUUAGAGUAAAAGGUUAGUAUGAGUUUAGGAUGUCGUAUUACUUUGUGUAGCUUGUUUAUGGUAUUAUUGGAUAUGUUAAUUUCUAUUGUAUUUUGUUAUUUUACUAUUCCUUGUCUAGAUUGUUUUAUUUUGAUCCGGGGAUCUAUCAGAAAUAAUUAUCAAUCUCAUAUCCGAGGUAGUGGUAUGGACUGCAUACACUUACACCCCAAUCGCAAUUGUUGUUGUCUUUGUACUAAUGCUCAACCUCCUUAAAGAAUCUAUGCCUCACUAGAUAUAAGUAGUGGCGGAGCCAGAAUUUUCACCAAGAGGGUUUAAAAUCAAAAAAUGUAGGCACACGAAUUAAACAAAGGGGGUUCAACAUCAAUUAUAUAUAUACAAAACAUAAUUUUCACAUACAAAAAUAGUAUAAUUUUUUGCCAAAGGCGGUUCGACUGAACCCCUUAAUCAUAAUGCGGCUCCGCCACUGGAUACAAGUUUAAUACAUAACAAAAAUUUAAGACUUUUCAAUUGGGGAGACAAUCCAUGAAACUAAAUGAGUAAAUAUUGGGUGGAAUUAUCAAUAUAUGGACCAUUUAAUAGUAAAAUUUAACCUCCCAUACACUUAAAUAAUUUUCUUUUAAGGAAUAUAGAGGUAAAAACUUGAAUAAUUAGCUUAUUAUAAUGCUACCUAGUAGUAGUUCUAUUGGAAAGAGCAAGAAAAAAUUGUACAAAAAUGGAGUCACGAAUUCAACUUUAUGGGUUUUAAAUUUAAAAAUAAUGAGUUCAGUUGCCAAUAAUUUGAUACUACAUUUAAUAUUUGCACAUAUUUAGUGAAUUUCUAUGUUCAAUUACACUCUUUAUACAAUACCUAGAUCAUGCGUCUCCGAUUAAAGACUCAAUGCAUAAAAAAAACAGGACAAUUCAUAUCAUAUCUGAUUUAAGUAGAUGCAUGGUGUCCAUCAUAUCAUUAAAAUAUACUUCAAGAUCUUAAAAAGAUCAUAUCUAACAUGAUAGAACGAAAAUAAAACUUUAUCAAAAAAAAAUGCACAAAAAUCCAUUACUCAAUAUUACUAAAAAAUCAAAAUAUACUUCGCAAAACCUUUUCACCUAGUCGAUCGUGCUGAAGUCAGCAAUAGAUUCACCAAAUUAUACACCUUACGCUAGGAUUGAUAUGAGAGUGAGGUGAGUAUUAAGAUAAAGAUGAAGUCGGUUUUUUUUUUCUCUAAGGAAAUUGAAUUAUGUUGCUAAGAAGAGGACAGAGAGGAAUUCGAUGUUACAAAUUUGAUGACUUUAAGGGAGAUGCUCAUUCACUUGACGUGUUUCUGACCCAAAAGAAAUGAAAAAUGAAAGAAUAAUUGGUGUGCAAGGUCUAUGAGUGGAGUGUACUAUCAUGCCUUUAUUUUUUAUUAUUUUUCUAAAAAGAACAUAAAAAAGAAACAGACAAAAAUCUUAAUACCUGAAAUAUAAUGCCUAUACUGUAACACUUAAAAUAUAACACGUAAAAUAUAAUGCCUAUAUAUAUACUCUUCACAUAUAUUGUGAAGAGUUGACUAAUCGAAUUUUUGUAAUCCAUUUUAGAUUCUACUUUCUCUCACUCUAUAUCGAAUUCAACUUGAAGCAAUGAAAAGCAAAGAAUGCUAAGUUUUGUUUUAUAUAUAAAACAAAAAAGCUUAGUUUGCAAUUUCUAUUAGAAAAGCAAAUGCUACUAAGUUUUGUUUUAUAUCUAAAACAAAAAACUUAGUUUGCAAUUUCUAUUUGUGAAAGUAGAUAUAUAUAAAAAAAAACUUAAUAUUUUUUGUUUUCCAUUUCUUCAAGUUGAAUUCGGUAUUGGAUGAGAGAAAGUAGAAUCCAAAAUGGAUUACAAAGAUUUGAUUAGUUAACUCUUCAUAAUAUAUGUGAAGAGUAUAUAGAUAGGCGUUACAUUUUAGGUAUUAUGCUCUAAGCGUUACAGUCUAGGCGUUAUGUUCUAGGUAUUAAGAUUUUUGUCUCUUUCUUUUAAGGUUCUUUUUUUUUUCUGGAAAAAAAUAAAGGCAUGAUAGUACACUCCACUUCGUAGACAGUGCACACAAGUUCUUCUUUCAUUUUUCAUUCCUUCUGGGCCGGAAUAACAUCAAGUGACUGAGCACCUCCCAUAAAAUCACCAAAUUUGUAAAAUUCCUCCCCGCCCUCUUGUCAACAACAUAAUUCAACUUCCUUAGAGUAAAAAUAUUCAGCCUCAUCUUUUUCGUAAAAGUCAGCUCAUUCUCAUAUCAAUCCUAGCGUAAGGUGUAUGAUUUGGUGAAUCUGUUGCUGACUUUACCAUGAUCGAUAAGGUGAAAUGUUUUUGCAAAGUAUGUUUUGCCUUUUAGUGUAAUUGAGUAAUGGAUUUCUAUGCAUUUUUUUUUCUGAUAAAGUUCUAUUUUUGUUCUAUCAAAUUAGAUCUGAUUUUUUUGACUCCUUGAAGUAUAUUUUAAUGAUAUGAGGGACACCAUGCAUCUUCUUAAGUAAGAUAUGAUAUGAAUUGUGCUCUUUUUUGUCAUGCAUUAAGUUUUUAAUAAGAGAUGCAUGAUCUAGGUGUUGUACAAAGAGUGCAUUUGAAUUUAUAAGUUCGCUAAAAAUGUGCAAAUAUUAAACGUAGUAUCCAAUUAUUGACUACUGAAGUCAUUAUUUUAAAAUUCAAAGUCCAUAAAGUUGAAAUCACGACUCCAUUUUUGUGCGAGUUUUUCUUGCUCUUUUCGUUAUAAAUAACAUUCUGAUUUAUUUUUAUUUAAAUCAAAAAAAUCAAGAUAUGUGUGUAUUUAUUCGUGUGUGAGUAAGUAAGAUAUGUGCAUUGAAAAUUGACAUUACAUUCUUAACUAGCUUCAAAGUAAUAAAAAAAAUUCAUUUUAUAUGUACAUAUUAUCACAAGACUUAAAAGUGAACUUAACGAAGGUGCGAAAGCUGCGGUAUUGGCUGUGAAAUUGAGGGUUCGGUCAAUCCGUAUUUCUAUAUAUUGUUUUGAUAAUAAGCAGCUAACUGCAAGGAACCAGGUCCCUUGAUGUGAAUGGUACAACAUAGCUGGCAUGCGUGUCCGCACAAGUUUUGCCUUCUUGUGUAACGAACUUGCAGGUGUCGCUCGUACUGAAUGGAACACCUAGACCAAUCUUUUUUUAGUCCUAAUCAUCACUCAUCAUAAAAUAAAAAAUUCUUCUUCGUCAAACAUUUUUUGCAAUUCCAAAUAGUGAAGAGAGGCAAUAAAAAUCCCAUUUUUCAGCUCUGCUAAAAUUCUUAGAUGAUUAUAUCUGCUUGAAUAGGAAUUGUUCUUGAGUGAGAUUUGAUUUGUAAUUUAAUUACUCAUGCUAUAAGAGUAGUUUUUUUCUUUGAUGAGGGAAGUUCUUAGGUAGAGUUGAGUAAGCUUGAUACUGAUUUGAGUUAAUCAGUGUAGAGGUUCCUUGAUAGAGUUGUCAAGAUGAGCUUGUAAUAGAGUUAUUACAAGCGAAAGAAACCUAGAAUUAGGUUCAGUGAAGACUUUAAUCAAGAUUUUGAUCAUAGUGGAUUUGAAGUACUUGUGAGGGCAAGCCAUGAUAUUUCCCUUCCUUGAACAAAGGGGAUUUUCACAAUAAACUUUUGUGUUUUUACUCUUCCUGCACUCUCUUUUGAUUUCUGGUUAUUUUACUAGUUUUUGUUUGUGCUUGACUUUGAGGGACUUGGCCCUCACUAUGUUGUGUAACCCCCAGGGUUUCAACAAUUGGUAUUAGAGCUAGAGAACUCUAAAAGGUUCACACCUAGAGUGAUUUGGUUAUCAUGGUUGCUCUACCUAAUUAGGGAGGAAGAAGGGAAAUCUACCACUAGGCCACCUAAUUUAUUGAGCAGUACUAUGGGUGGUCAAAAACCAGGAUGUUUGACUUCAUCAAGGUUGAAGAUAGUGAGCAAAUGGACAUAAUUCUUGAUGAUCCUCAUGUUCCUAUUAGAGAAGUCAAAGAAGGAGAAGUUACAAGAAUGGCUGUCAAAAGCCAAAAGGAGUUCAAUGAUCAAGAUAAAAAGAGGAUUGAAAAAAAUUACAAAACCAAGAAGCCGUUGGUUUAUGGUAUAAGGCAUGAUGAAUACAACAAAAUUUCUGCUUGUGAAAGUGCUAAGGAGAUCUGGAAGUUUUUGAGGACCGCUCAUGAAAGUACUUGUUAUGUGAAAGAUUCAAAAGUAGAAAUUCUGACUACUCAGUAUGAGACCUUCACUACGAAAAAAAGAGAAACAAUCCAAGAGAUCCACACAAGAUUCACUUCUAUCACAAAUGAGCUUCACUGCCUAAGAGAACUGAUUCCUUCGUAAAAAUAAGAGAGAAAAAUUCUUGGUGUUCUUCCUAAGUCCUGGAAAAGUAAUGUAGAUGCCAUAAUUGAAGAAAAGAAUCUGAAGACCCUCACUGUGGAAGAAUUGAUAAAAAAAUUUGAAGAGCCAUAAGCUCUAAAAGCAGUAAAGGAUGGAUAAGAAGGAAGUAAAAAGAGAAAUUCCUAGCUUUGAACUCAUCUAAACAUGAUUUUGAUGAUGAAGAGAUUGAAGUUGCCUAUAUGGCAAGCAGGAUUGUUAGAGCCGUGAAGAAGAGUGGUCAGUUUCAAAGAAGAGAAAGCAGUAGCAAGAAGGGAAGUAAUGUUGAGGUGUGUAACAAAUGUGGAAGUCCUGAGAAUUUCAUUAAGGAUUGUCCAAUACACAAAAUGGACUAUAAGAUUUACCUUAAUGCUGCAGGUAACAAGGGAAAGUUAAGGGACCAGGUCCCUAAAAAAUCAAGAAGGAAGGUUGUAGUUGGUUAUGCUGUAUAGCAAGCUUUAGCAGGAUGGCGAGACUAUUACAGUGAUUCAGGUGAAAAUGAGAAGAUAGGAGAUAAUUCUAUGCUCAUACUAAAAGACAAUCCACUUAUCUGUGAUUCCUUAUUUACAUUCAUGGCUGACACAGAGAAUGAAAAAAAGGUAACUCUAUUGAUAUUAAGUAGAAUUUCGAUAAUUACACGAUUAGGAAAAUAAAAAGGCUUGCAAGUGUGUUGAUAGACUCUAUAUGUGAACUAACUACUGAGAUGAAAUCUAAAAAUCUGAGUUGGAUAAGUAAUCUAAAGAAAAUAAAUGAUGUAGAAGGAAAAGAGAAGAAAUUAGAUUUAAGGCUUCAAGUUAAUCUUAAGGAAAGAUUGGAAGAUUCCUAAACACACUUUACAGGAAUGAAAAGUUUAAAAAGGUCCUGGUCCGCUUAAGAGAAGGGUUGAACAAGUCUCUUAAAUGGACUGCUUCUUCACAUAUCCUUCCUAAACUUUUUAUUCAGGGUGUUAAUGAUGGUAAAGGACUGGACGGUCAAGGAGAAUUUCAACUUACUAAGUGGAAAGGAAAGACUGUCAAUGGUGGUAGAAAUAAGGUUUUCAUUCCUAUGUGUAGUUAUUAUGAAAGGAUGAGCACAUUAAGGAAAGUUGUCAAAUAUGGAUAAGAGCUAGAAUUAAUAAUUUUAGAUAUGUUCAUCAAGAGAGUACAAAACAUAAGGGGCUCAAACCUCUGAAAAAUGUGAGGAAUAAUUCUCUAACUAAAUGGGCCAAGAAUGUUCUGAUCACACCGUUGGCCUCUAUUUGAAAACUCAACCGAAGUGUGUUCCCAAAUCCAACUUGUGAUCAUGAAUUCAGGUAUGAGAAAGGGGAUUAAAUUCUCACUCUCAAGAUACUUCAACGUGGAAUUUUCUCACUUUGUAAGAGAUGAUUACAAGGACCUGGGUCCCAAAUGAAUUUAUCCUAAAAGAAGAAACUUGAGGUAGUAUAAGUGAAGAAACGAUCUAGAACUUGGUCCUCCAACCUGUUCUAAAAGAGCAAAUUGAAGCUGAGCUUGAUCAAAAUGCCCUGACCUAACAUCUGAGUCAGUGUCACUCCUUAAAAUUGGCUAUGUCAGGAAGACAGGUAUCUAUGAUAAAGUAAGUGUAUGUUAAUCUAUCAUACCUUUGCAGGUAUACACCUAUGGGUACAACUUUGGAAAAAAUAAGUUGAAGUAAUCACAAGCUAAAAUUUCACUCAAGAAAGAGAGGGACUUGGUUCUAUCUCUUAGGUGAGUACCAAAAUAAUGUGCCUUAAAUUUUUUAUAAAAUUUUUAUUUUAAAAGGGCAACUUUUGCAAUCCCAUAUGAACAAAAGCUAUCAAUUUGGUUUAAAUGUGAAGAGUUACAACCGUUGUCAUCAAAUGCAUCAUUUCAAAAAGGUAUCUCUUAUAUGUCAAAUAAUCAUCUUUUAAAUUAUAAAUUCAAUUUCUCUUAAUUCAUUUUCUUCUCAAUUAACUCAAAACAUUAUCAAAACUGGUCCCUCCUCUUUUCAUCUCCAAAAAGCACAAAAUGUCUAAAAUUUCCUCUUCUUCAAGCCCCAUGAAAGAUUUACCCUUUGAUUAUUCUCAAAAGCCACAAAGAGUGUCACUCGUCAGUCCUUCCCAUGAGAUUCUUGAGACCCUUAGUGAAACUAUUCCAGUAGAAAAUCGAAGCCCCAGUGAAUGUUCUGUCCAAAUAAAUAACCUAAACAAAGGUUAUGGCUCUCCAAUAGAGCAAAAUAUUAUUCAAUCAGAAGGACCUCAUUCAUCAGAAAAAUCAGAGUCCUCCAAUGCCCCUCAAAUUUAGGUCCCUUCUGAGGAAUUAAAAGGUACUGGAAUUUUAGAUAAUUUACAAGGACCUGGUUCUCCUACCCUUUCCAAGUCAAACUAUAUAUUUACCUAUCUUAUUAAUAAGAUUCUUGUAAAGAAAUCUGAUUCUCUCAGCAGCAUAAAUUUGGUAGCUGAAAAUUUACUUUUACCUGAAAAUGAUCCCAAGGAAGGUUCUGUUAGUGGGGAAAAUCAAAUAACAGGAGAAAAAUAGCAGUUUAAAGAGGAUAGAGAGUUUGUAUUACCGCCAAAUUAGUAAAAUAAAAAGGAUGAUGAUGAACAACAUCUGAUUUAGAAAAUGAAGAAUCUUAUCGACAGUAAAGAAAAGGAGAAAAUUAUUAACACUGGUGUACAAGGCACUAUAUCUUAUUCCACUAGGGGAUCUGAACAAAAAUUACUAGUAGAUGCCAUGAAGGAAAGUAUGUCCUCUACCACCAAAAGAAUAAGACUCAAGAAAGCUGUCAUAGUUAAGGAGGUAAAUGUUGAAGUAGUGGGGGUUAGGGUAAGAUGAUGAUACAUACACUGAUAUUGUAAUUGUAACUAUAAAGAAAAUACAAGAAGUUGAUGUCGUUGAGAGGACCAGGUCAUCUAGUCCAAAGUCUAAUAGUCCUGCUAUAAGCAAAAAGAAGCAUAUUUCUAUCAAAAGAAAGGAAGUCUCUAAGGUACCUGGUACCACUGAAAAACUUACAACAAAAAAUGAAAAACUUAAGGCCAAAAUUCCAGAGUUGACUGGUGAAAUCCAAGUACAGAUGUUGAAGUAAGAACUCUCACCAAACUAUUACUGGAUGCUCGUGCUGCUGGGAUGGACAUGUUGCUAAAAUCUCUCUCCCUUAAACCCUAUUCUACCUGAGUCCUAGUGUGUCAACUUCCUGAGUCAGUUUCAAUUGUGGCCUUUGGAAACAAUACUUUUUAUAAUUUUUUUGGUAUAUUGUUAUGGUAUUUAUCCUAAUUAGUGAAUGUUAAAGCUAAUUAUUUUAUCUUUAUUUUAAAGCUAUUUUUCUUGUUAGUGUCUCCCCAGCGACCUUGAGUUAAUUAGCUUGUACUUAUCUUUACUCUUGAUUUACUGUUAAUCCUUUUCAGAGAUGCUAAAAGGGGGAAUAUUGAUUUCAUAUGUAAGGAUCAGGGGUGUGUGUGCUCAUGUUACUGAUAGGGUAAGGCACAGUAAUAAGGAGAGCAAAACUAUAAUGCCCCGAUUUUCUGAACCGAAAUGCUACAUGGUGAUCAUGACCCCCGAAGGACCACAAGCUAACCCAUGACUAAUAUCUGUACCUGUAAACUACAUAAUAUCUCAUAAAAUAUGCGGAAACAUGAACUAUAAAGGUAUAAGGUUCGAUACUGAUACAUAUCUGAAAAAUAUGGUAUAACAAUACCAAAAAGAAAUAUAAAUACUGAAGUGUGAACGUCAAAUCUAACAUCCAGGUCUGAAAGCCUCUAACUGAACUAAAUAAGGAGUUGAAGAACAUGUCUUCAACUAACUCCAUGAAAUAAAAAACUAAUCUGAAAUAAUAAAGUAAUAGAAAUAUUGUCUUGGAAUGAAGAGGAGCACUGACUCCUAAAAUCUACAAUGCUACUGUUUCUCUGAAACUCGUACCUCUAUACCAUGGCGUCAAAUAAAACACCAUAGCGUGAAUGCGUCAGUACGACUGAAUAUACUAAGUAUACGAGUGACGUAGGCUAAAUGCAAAGGGUUUUAUAUGCAUGAACAAUGCUAACUGAUAUGAACGUGAGAAUACAUACAUACAUACGUAACUGCAACUAAACUCGUGGUGAUGCUGACUACUGAGUUUGAAUACUAUCAACAUGAGUUUACUGAUGCUGAGAUACUGUAGACUGAGUUUACUGAUAUUGAUAUGUAAUUCACUAAUAAGUGAGGAACUGAUAUUGUAUUACUGAAUACUUGGAGAAUGAUACUAUAUUACUAAUAAAAAAAUGAUUGUUUCUGAUAUUUCUGAUGAUGAACUAAUUUGAUUGACCGUAUAUAACAGUCCUAAAACUGAGCUCGUGAUAACAUGACUACUAGUAUGGAUACUGAUGACAUUUAUUUACUGAUAACAUAUCAUGAAUGAUAACUGAAUUUUGAUAAUUGAUAUAUUUGAUAACAUGAGUUUUGAUAACUGAUAGCAUGAAUAACUUUAUCUAAUAGUCCUAAAUCUGAUGGAACUAGCUGUUUUUCGUGUUGUAUCUGAGUUGACUGUAUCUUAAUAUCCUGAAGAACUAUCAGAGUUCUUUUACUGAGACUGAUACUGAAAUUGUGGGAAGUAGUAAUCUAACCGACAUACCCUAAAUACACUAUAAUAGCUAAGCUGGGGUGCAAUCUCUGCCCUGAUUGGAAGGGUGUCAAUACCGUGCCACUGGUAAGGACAAGCUGUGAGUGACUCUCAUCUGGUAGGUACUCUAAUGAGAAUGGUGGUAACCCUCAUCUGAUUGAUUAAGUAACCUCAUCUACCCUCAACUGAUAGGUAUUGAUGUCUUAACCUAUGCUGGCUACAUAGUUCUGGAAUGCAAGGACUGCUUCUAAGAAUCACACCCUCUACUGGCAGGUGAGUUCCCAUCCUUGGGUUCGCUCGGUGUUGAAUCCAACUCCCAACUGAAUGACACUGAACUGAUUAUACUGAACUGAUUUCCUAGUUCAUACUAAAAUUAACUGAACUGUUACUGAUUGUUCUGUUUAACUGAACAAAACAUGGAUUGAGUUUAUUGACUUCCGAUAACUAGCGAAACACUACUAAAUUCUGUUAAAUGACUAAAUGCUACUGAAUUUUGUUAGCUGACUGAAGUCUACUGAACAUGGCUUGACUGAGAGUAUUGUGAAAACAUGACAAAGCUCUAGUCACACAACUAUAUUUUUCAGGUACGAAUACCCCUAGGACUCGAUGGAAGGAAACUGACAUGACUUGACAUACAAGAGUACUUGACCAACAUUAACAAUCCAUAAUAUAGCAUCUAUGGGGAAUUCAUAAAUUAUGUCGUUUUCAUAACCUUUUCAUAUAGCUAAUAUCAUGGUCAAUUAUACUAUCAUGACAAGCCAACAACAUAUUCAUAGCACAUUAAUAGCAUAGAAAUCAUCUUGAUCAAGUAGACAUGGCAUAACUUAAGAGACAUGGCAAAAUCUUAGAGCAUGAAGACUAGGUACUUGAUCAUCAUUUAUUCGUUGAGCCACAUUAUCAAACACAUGGCAGGCAUAUGUUUAGCAUGGGAGUCAACUUAAGCACAUGGAUAUGGCAUGGAAUCAUCAUUUAGAUCACAAAUAGGUCAAAGUACUCAAUUCUUCUUCACUUAGGUAUUUUAACAAACACCUUGCAUGCACUAUUUAGGGAAUAGGCCUAAUGAUCAAUUUUAUACACCAUAACACCAUAAUUCAACUCAAAUCCACCAAUUGAAUCCAAAAAAUAUCAUGGUAUCAUGAACAACAUGUAAAUAUUCAAACUUUAUUCACACAACAUGGAAUUCAUCUGAAAUCAUAAAACAUGGACUAAGGACUUGUUAAUUGAGCACUCUUAAACCAUGAAAACAUGAUUAUGCCUUUUUAGGCAUUUCGUCGAACACCUUGCAUGCACAGUUUAUGGUAUAGGUGUUCUUAAUAAUUUAGUCAGCUUAAACUACCAAUUUCAUGGGUUUUAACUAUAAGCACACAUACUUCAUGAGAAUCACCCUAAAUUAACAUCUUGAAGCAUAAAUAACAACUAUCAACAUGUACAUGAUAAUAUCUGAACAAGACAAUCACAAUAUAGUGUUUUAAGCAUGAUUCUUGGACUCCUACGGAUGAAAGGAAUCUGUGGAUGAACACUACGCAUACCUUAGGUUGAAGAUUCUUGAAGAAAUUCUUAGACAUGUUCUUGAUUCCUUGACUAGGAUUCUUGUUCCUUUGAGAGAAAAUAAAUUGGCUCUUGAUUUUGAAUAACUUGAAUAUCAUAUAUUAUUGAAGAAGAAUUUGAUUCUUGUUAUAGGUUAUGAUCUUGAGAGAAAUCCUUUUUUUUAUGUUGAAGAUAAAUGAGGAGUUAUGUUCUUCAAUUGAUGGGAUUUGGGUAUUCAAAUUGAAACCCUAGCUUGAGUUCUUGAGAGGAUUUUGAGAAGAGGAGUAUAUUUUGCUGCAAAUAAUCCUUAAUCCUGUGUUUGAGGUAUAUAUAGGGGUGGAAGAUGACCAAUAUACCCCUAAGGAACAAUUAAGGUCAAAUCUGUCCCUAAUUGACUAUCUGAUAGGCUGAAGUAAAUUGAUCAUAACUUUUCAUUUAGAUGUCCAAAUGGGAUGAAAAUAAUUUCAUUGGAAAGAUUUAAAGAUAUUUCCAUUGAUAUAUAGCAGCUCUCACAUUUCAUUACAUAUAAAUAGUUCUUUUGUUGCCACUGUUUGACCCAAAUCCUAAUGUUGACCUCAUAUAUAAAUAAUUAAAGACAAUAAAGUUUGACCCCUCAAUAUUUUUAUUUUUUUUACCCUUGAACAUUAUCUUAACCAACAAUUUUUUUUUAUUUGGCGAUUGUGUUUUUGUAAAAAAUUCACGAUAUUUAUAAUAUAAAUAUGAACAGUUUUAAUCAAAUUUCUUCAUUGUCAUCAUCAAAUAAUUGUACACUUAUACUAUAUAAUUAAUAGUAACUAUACCUUUUUAAAANNNNNNNNNNNNNNNNNNNNNNNNNNNNNNNNNNNNNNNNNNNNNNNNNNNNNNNNNNNNNNNNNNNNNNNNNNNNNNNNNNNNNNNNNNNNNNNNNNNNNNNNNNNNNNNNNNNNNNNNNNNNNNNNNNNNNNNNNNNNNNNNNNNNNNNNNNNNNNNNNNNNNNNNNNNNNNNNNNNNNNNNNNNNNNNNNNNNNNNNNNNNNNNNNNNNNNNNNNNNNNNNNNNNNNNNNNNNNNNNNNNNNNNNNNNNNNNNNNNNNNNNNNNNNNNNNNNNNNNNNNNNNNNNNNNNNNNNNNNNNNNNNNNNNNNNNNNNNNNNNNNNNNNNNNNNNNNNNNNNNNNNNNNNNNNNNNNNNNNNNNNNNNNNNNNNNNNNNNNNNNNNNNNNNNNNNNNNNNNNNNNNNNNNNNNNNNNNNNNNNNNNNNNNNNNNNNNNNNNNNNNNNNNNNNNNNNNNNNNNNNNNNNNNNNNNNNNNNNNNNNNNNNNNNNNNNNNNNNNNNNNNNNNNNNNNNNNNNNNNNNNNNNNNNNNNNNNNNNNNNNNNNNNNNNNNNNNNNNNNNNNNNNNNNNNNNNNNNNNNNNNNNNNNNNNNNNNNNNNNNNNNNNNNNNNNNNNNNNNNNNNNNNNNNNNNNNNNNNNNNNNNNNNNNNNNNNNNNNNNNNNNNNNNNNNNNNNNNNNNNNNNNNNNNNNNNNNNNNNNNNNNNNNNNNNNNNNNNNNNNNNNNNNNNNUGUCGGGUGUGGGGAUAGGGAAGGGAUUGUGUUUUAGGUAAAAAACUUUUAUUCUAAAAAAAAGAAAUUUAAUUUUUUACAAAACUAUAUUUUUUAGGGGAUGGGGUACUAUCGUAUAGAGGGUUAUAGGUGGUUGGGUGAAUUUCUUUUUAUAAAAAAAUUAUUUAUUUAUUUCAAAAAAAUAUUUUUUUGGGAGGAGUAGCAGAUGCGACGAAGGGAAAAGGGUGGGAUUUUGAUCGUGAGGUAAGAAAAGAUUUUUAACCUUUUUUUAAAAAUUAAAAUAAUUAAUUUUUUGGGUGGAGAAGGGGGUGAGGGUGGGGGUCUAGUAGGGAGGGGAAUGGGGAUGAGGUGGGGAGGGGGGAAAAAUUAUAAAAACUUUUUAAGAAAUAAAAAUAAUAUAUUUAAUGGAGGCAGGGUGAGUGGGGUAAGCUAGGGGUGUAGUGGGGUUGGGGUGAGGUGGGGGCAAGCUGUGGUGGGUCAUUUUGAGAGUAGGAGGACAUAUUAUCUCUUGUUUUUCUUACUUUCAUUAAGAAAAUUAUUUCUUUAUCAAACGGGUUGAAGCGGAGAUUGAUUGGCUCAUUUGAAUCCAAUUUAAAAAUGAGUUGAGAUUUACCCAAUAGUAAAUUGUCUUGAACCCAACACAUUAAAUAUUGGAUGGGUUGGACGGGUUAGCACAAUUUGGGUUCAUUUUGACACCUCUGCCCUUGACCAUCCCACCCCGUCACCCUCAAGACCCCACACCCUAACCCAUCCCACUUCUAGAGCUUUUUGCUAAAUAAUGUACAAAUGAUCUUGAAAUAAUAAGUCCGUGGAUAAUAUUUUACCUUCAUACAAAACACACCCUAAAGCAAUGAGAGUUGACAAGCUCAAUAGUUGGCUUGAAAAACACAACUUCUAUGCUCCUUGAUAUAGUUUCUCUUAAGAAUUAAUGGUCAAAAAAGCACCUGAACUAUUACUUUUUUCGCAAGCUUCACAUUCCAACUAUCAAUUAUUUCCUUUUUUUUCACCUGAACCAUCAUCGUUUAUUUUGGGAUUUGAUUAAAUUUGAAUUUGCACAUUUUAGGGUCACUUUCGUCAAGAAUUUGAGCACAACAAGGUCCAUUUCUAGGAGACUAGAACAAUUCUUGUAAGAACAAUUUUUUUUUAGAAACUUGUACUCAAGAACCUCUUAAUAAGUUUUUUCUUUUAUUUUGUUGGCAUUUAAUUUUUGCCACUCAAAGCAAGUUGCUUUUCCGAGGCGCAUAAGUUUAUAUUUUCACAUAAUCAACAAGUUAUAUGUUAUAUAUCAUUCCCUUCGUCUCAUAUUACUUGACAUGUUUGUCUUUUGCACAAACGUUAAGGAGAAAUUAAUAAGGAGUGCAGAUUGGCUAAUAUAACCAUGUUAAACUCACAUUAAAUAUUGUCAUUACUUAUUGGAGUUAAUUGCUCUUCCAUUAAGAGCAAAAAUCUUCAGUAAAUAUUUUCCUAAAAUUGUACUAAUUCAACUUUGGAUUUGAAACAAAAGGCCAUUGUUGUGGUCGACUCCUGCCAUUGUCCAUCUAUUUAAUCGUCGUUGUGGUCGAAUCCUACCGGUUACCUACUGACUUUACUCUAGUUAAUUGUUCUGUCCAUCCAAGAUUCAAUCCAUCCAAGUUUCAAUCACAUCUCUGUGACCCAACAAACCCAUCAGUUUUCAGCGAGUGACGUCAGUUUUUGGCUAAGCGGAUUGUCAUUAUUUUUCUCACUUCUUGCGUCGACCACUAAACUUUAGCGGUUUCUUGUCGGACUAGCGACCCAUCAGUUUCUGACAAGUGACGUAAGUUUCCAGCGAAACUAAUCAUUGUUUUUCCUCACUUCUUUCACGACCAUAACUCUCUUCCCUUUUCUUUCUAUCCCUUUAUAGGUACUACAAGUCCAGAUCUGAAACCUCUUCUCAAAUGGUGACGUCAAGAUUUCGGCAACCAAUUUUCAUCGCAAAUUAUCGAAAUUCGAUGACUCGACCAAGUAAACUGACCCAACUUCAAUCAGGUGCAGUCACUCCAUCUCUUCUAGUCGUGUGUAUAGCUUUCUUGAUUCUAGUGGCUGCUAUUGUCUGUCUUGUGUACUAUUUGUACUUAAUCCCUUUUAUCUUCGGGCCUUCAUUGACUAUCUUGUCUGUGGAUGACAAUUUACCUAUUUAUUUCUAUAUUUCAUAGUAGUGAUUUACUUGUUAAUUCUACUUGUCUUUUAUUCAUUUUUAUUGUUCUUAGUAGUUCUGUAGUGUGGGCUUGGUAGUAACAUUUUUGGUUUGCAUUAUUGUCUAGACUGUGUUCUAUUAGUGCUAUUGGUUUGUGCAGUCUCUAGUCUCUGAUGGUUUUGGAAAAUGGUGUUAAAUUAGGGCCAUGUCUUUGGGCGGAGCUUGGGCCGGGGUCGGGGUAGGGUAGGGAGAAGGAAGGGUAAAAGGGCUAAAGGUGGUUGUAGGUUGCGAGUAGGAUCAUGGAAAAUAUGUUCUUUAUUAGAGAAAUCAUUAGUUCUAGUGAAAAUUCUUGGAAAAAAAGUGAAUUAAUAUAGCUUGUCUCCAAGAUACCAAAUAGGUAGGUACUAAGGCGAGGGUAUUAGACGGUUAUAUGUUGUGGUACUCAGGAAGCAUGAGGAACAAGAAUGGUGUAGCUAUCCUAGUAUAUGAUGAUCUCAGAAAGCAAAUGGUAGAGUUUAAGAGGGUCAACAAUAGGAUGACGUCAAGAUUUCGGCAACCAAUUUUCAUCGCAAAUUAUCGAAAUUCGAUGACUCGACCAAGUAAACUGACCCAACUUCAAUCAGGUGCAGUCACUCCAUCUCUUCUAGUCGUGUGUAUAGCUUUCUUGAUUCUAGUGGCUGCUAUUGUCUGUCUUGUGUACUAUUUGUACUUAAUCCCUUUUAUCUUCGGGCCUUCAUUGACUAUCUUGUCUGUGGAUGACAAUUUACCUAUUUAUUUCUAUAUUUCAUAGUAGUGAUUUACUUGUUAAUUCUACUUGUCUUUUAUUCAUUUUUAUUGUUCUUAGUAGUUCUGUAGUGUGGGCUUGGUAGUAACAUUUUUGGUUUGCAUUAUUGUCUAGACUGUGUUCUAUUAGUGCUAUUGGUUUGUGCAGUCUCUAGUCUCUGAUGGUUUUGGAAAAUGGUGUUAAAUUAGGGCCAUGUCUUUGGGCGGAGCUUGGGCCGGGGUCGGGGUAGGGUAGGGAGAAGGAAGGGUAAAAGGGCUAAAGGUGGUUGUAGGUUGAGAGUAGGAUCAUGGAAAAUAUGUUCUUUAUUAGAGAAAUCAUUAGUUCUAGUGAAAAUUCUUAGAAAAAAAGUGAAUUAAUAUAGCUUGUCUCCAAGAUACCAAAUAGGUAGGUACUAAGGCGAGGGUAUUAGACGGUUAUAAGUUGUGGUACUCAGGAAGCAUGAGGAACAGGAAUGGUGUAGGUAUCCUAGUAUAUGAUGAUCUCAGAAAGCAAAUGGUAGAGUUUAAGAGGGUCAACAAUAGGAUGAUGUCAAUUAAACUAGUUAUUGGAGAGUCUUCUUGGAAUAUUAUUAGUGUAUACGCCCCGCAUAUAGGCUUGGAUGAGGAUGAGAAUAAGAGGUUUUGGGAGGCUUUGGUCGAGAUGGUGAGAGGUGUCCCUAGUGAUGAUAAGAUUUUUAUAGGAGGAGAUUUCAAUGGACACAUUGGGUCUUCUUCAAGGGGUUAUGAUGAUGUGCAUAAAGGCUGUGGGUUGGAAUAUGGAAUGACGAAGGAGUGGCACUUUUGAAUUUUGCUCGGGCGUUUUGUUUGGUGGUAGGUAGUUAAUUCAAACUUUCCCAAGAAGAAGGUUCACUUGGUACCUUUCGUAAUUCGAUGGCCAAGACCCAGAUUGACUUUUUUCUCCUCGAGAAAAGAUAUAGGAGUAUUUGUAAGGACUGUAACAUCUUAUCAAAUGAGAAUCUUUCGACCUAAUAUUGGCUUUUGGUGAUGGACUUGGAGAUCAUAAAGGAGCAGAGGAGGAGAGGUAUGGAGGAUCAUCCAAGUAUUAUAUAGGGAAAUUUGACUUUGGCUAGUGCACUGGAUAUAAGGGAUAAGUUGAUGAAGGGGAAGGCUUAGGAGAGUGGAUGGGAUGCUAAUAGUAUAUAGGAUAAUAUUGCCAGUUGCAUUAAGAAGGCAACUGGAGAGGUGUUGGGUGUCUCGAGAGGCCUCUUGAGCAAACACCCAGGGGACUGGUGGCGGAACAAAGAGGUAAAGAAGAAGGCGGAGGAUAAGAAGAAAGCAUAUGCAAAGUUGGCUGAGAGUAAGGACGAAGAGGAUAAAUAGAAAAAUUAGAAGUAUAAGAUUACUAGGAGAAAGUUAAAGUUAGUGGUCUCGAUGGCUAAGGAUGCUGCUUUCGAGAGUUUAUACACAACUUUAGAUAGUAAAGGUGGGAGAAAAAAGUUGUAUAGGAUACCCAAGUUUAGGGACAGAAAGGCUCCGUACCUUGAUCAAGUGAAGUGUAUUAACGAUGUGGGCGACAAAGUUUUGGUGGAGAAGGGUUGUAUUAGAAAGAGAUGACAGUCUUACUUCUAUGACCUCCUGAAUAAAAGAAGGGAUACUAGCAUUGUGUUGAGGAAUUUGGAGCAUUACAAAAGGUUUUACGAUUAUGGUUAUUGUAGGCGCAUUAAGGUUGAGAAGGUUAAGGGGGCUAUUCAUUGGAUGUGCAGAGGUAGAGCGAUGGGGCAAGAUGAGAAUCCCAUAGAUUUUUCAAAUAUACAGGAGGGGCAGGUAUGGAGUGGUUGACUCGGUUGUUUAACAUAAUUUUCAAGACGGCAAGGAUUACGGAAGCUUGGAGGUAGAGUAGAUGAUUCCAUUGUAUGAGAAUAAGGGUGGCAUUUAGAAUUGCAAUAAUUAUAGGGGUAUCAAGUUAUUGAGUCACACUAUGAAGGUUUGGGAGAAGGUGAUAGAGUUGAGGUUGUAGAGGAAUAUUACUAUUUCUGAAAAUCAGUUCGUAUUUAUGUCAAUACGCUCGACUAAUAAAUCCAUCUAUCUUACUAGGAGACUAAUGGAGUAGUAUAGUGAAGGAAUGAAGUAUUUGCACAUAGUGUCUAUUGACUUAGAGAAAACUUUUGAUAGAGUUCCUAGGGAGGUUCUUUGGAGGUGUUUGGAGGAUAAAGGUGUACCUAUGGUGUAUGUUAGGGCGAUUAAGGAUAUGUACAAUGGAUUGAAGACUCGGGUCAGGACUAGGGAGGGUACUCGGAGCACUUUCCUAUCUUGAUGGGGUUACACCAAGGAUUGACGCUUAGUUCGUUCCUUUUUACCUUGGUGAUGGAUGUUUUUAUGUGGCAAAUUCAAGGUGAGGUGCCUUACUGUUUGCUUUUUUUGAAUGAUAUGGUCUUGAUUGAUGAGACAUGUAGUGGAGUAAAUGCUAAAUUAGAGGUUUUGAGGAAAACCCUUGAGUCUAAUGGAUUUAGGUUGAGUAGGUCCAAGACGAUAUAUAUGGAGUAUAAGUAUAGCAAGGUGUAGCAUGAGUCCAAUAUGGUUGUUAAGCUUGAUGCUCAUUCUAUCAAUAAGAGAUAUAGUUUUAAGUAUAUAGGGUCUAUGAUUUAGGGGAAUGGAGAGAUUGAUGAAGAUGUCACUUAUAGAUCAGGGUAGGGUGGAUGAAAUAGAAGUUCGCCUCCAAAAUCUUGUGUGUCAAAAAGGUACCUCAUAAACUUAAAGGAAAAUUUUACAAAGUGGUAGUUAGACUGAUUUUAUUGUAUGGGGCGGAGUGCUGGCCUGUUAAGAAGGCCCAUAUCCAGAAGAUAAAUGUAGCGGAGAUGAGAAUGCUUUGGUGGAUGUGUGGGUGUACUAGAAAAGAUAGUAUUAGAAAUGAGGUUAUUCAAGAUAAGGUAGGAGUGACUUCAGUGAAAGCCAAGAUGAGGGAAACACGGUUGAGAUGGUUUGGUCAUAUGAUAAGAAGGGGCGUAGAUUCCCAACAGGUGUGGGGAUGGUUUCAAGCGAGGUAGAGGUAGACCAAAGAAAUAUUGGAGAAAGGUGAUUAGACAUGACAUGGAGCAACUCCAACCUAUCAAGGACAUGAACCUAGAUAGGAAGUUAUAGAGGAGGCACAUUAGAGUAGAAGGUUAGUAUGAGUUUAAGAUGUUGUGUUACUUGGUGUAUCUUGUUUAUGGUAUUAUUUGAUAUGUUGAUUUCUAUUGUCUUUUGUUCUUUUAUUAUUCCUUGUCUAGAUUGUUUUGUUUUGAUCCGGGUGUCUUUCAGAAACAACCUAUCUAUCUCACAUCUGAGGUAGUGGUAUGCGCUACAUACAGUUACCCCCGAUCCCAAUUGCUGUUGUUAUUGUACUAAUGCUCAACAUCCUUAAAGAAUCUAUGCCUCACUAGAUACAAGAAGUGACGGAGCAAGAAUUUUCAGUAAGAGGGUUCAAAAUCGAAAAAUGUUGGCACACGAAUUAACCGCAGGGGUUCAACAUCAAUUAUAUAUACAAAAAAUAAUUUUCACCAUAUAAAAAUAGUAUAAUUGUUCAACGAAGGGUUUUCAGCCAUAAUACGGCUCAGCCACUGGAUGCAAGUUUAAUACAUAACAAAAAUUAAAGACCUUUCAAUUGGGUAGACAAUCCAUGAAACUAAAUGAGUAAAAAUUGGGUGGAAUUAUCAAUUUAUGGGCCAUUUAUUAGUAAACUUUAACCACCCAUACACUUAAAUAAUUUUCUUGUAAAGAAUAUAGAGGUAAAAACUAAAAUAAUUAACUUAAUAUAAUGCUACCUACUAGUAGUUCUAUUGAAAAGAGCAAAAAUAUAUUGCACAAAAAUGUAGUUAAGAUUUCAACUUUAUGGGUUUUGAAUUUAAAAAUAAUGAGUUCAGUUGCCAAUAAUUGGUACUACAUUUAAUAUUUGCACAUAUUUAGUUAAUUUCUAAGUUCAAAUACACUUUUUGUACAAUAGCUAGAUCAUGUAUCUCCGAUUAAAGACUCAAUGCAUAACAAAAAAGAGGACCAAAAAGAUGCAUGGUAUCCAUUAUAUCAUUAAAAUAUACUUCAAGAUCUUAAAAAGAUCAGAUCUAAUAUGAUAGAACAAAAAUAAAACAUUAUCAAAAAAAAAAAAUGCACAGAAAUCCAUUACUCAAUUUUACUAAAAAAAGCAAAAUAUACUUUGCAAAAUCCUAUCACCUAAUCAAUCUUGGUGAAGUCAACAAUAGAUUCAGCAAAUCAUACACCUUAAGCUAGGAUUGAUAUGAGAGUGAGGUGAGUUUUAAUAGAAAGAUGAGGUUGGUUUUUUUUUGUUCGAAGGAAAUAGAAUUAUGUUGCUGACAAGAGGACAGAGAGGAAUUUGAUGUUACAAAUUUGAUGACUUUAAGGGAGGUGCUUAGUCAAUUGACAUGUUUCUGAACCAAAAGAAAUGAAAAAUGAAAUAAUAAUUGGUGUGCACGGUCUAUGAGUGGAGUGUACUAUCAUACCUUUAUUUUUUAUUUUUUAUUUUCUUAAAAGAACCUAAAAAAGAAAGAGGCAAAAAUCUUAAUACCUGAAAUAUAACGCCUAGACUGUAACACUUAAAUUAUAACACCUAAAAUAUAAUGCCUAUAAAUAUGAUCUUCACAUAUAUUGUGAAGAGUUGACUAAUCAAAUUUUUAUAAUCCAUUUUAGAUUCUACUUUCUCUCACUCUAUAUCGAAUUCAACUUGAAGCAAUGAAAAGCAAAGAAUGCUAAGUCUUGUUUAAUAUAUAAAACAAAAAAACUUAGUUUGCAAUUUCUAUUAGAAAAGCAAAUAAUACCAAGUUUUGUUUUAUAUCUAAAACAAAAAACUUAGUUUGCAAUCUCUACUAGUGAGAGUAGAUAUAUAUAAAACAAAACUUAAUAUUUUUUGUUUUUUCAUUUCUUCAAGUUGAAUUCGGUAUAGGGUUAGAGAAAGUAGAAUCCAAAAUGGAUUACAAAGAUUUGAUUAGUUAACUCUUUGUAGUAUAUGUGAAGAGUAUAUAUAUAGGCAUUACAUUUUAGGUGUUAUGCUCUAAGCGUUACAGUCUAGGCGUCAUGUUUUAGGUAUUAAGAUUAUUGUCUCUUUCUUUUAAGGUUCUUUUUUUAAAAAAAUAAAAAUAAAGGCAUGAUAGUACACUCCACUCCAUAGACAGUGCACACAAGUUCUUUCAUUUUUCAGUGCCGAUUGAAAGGUGUUCUUUUGGGGAAGAAGAGUUCAAGUCCAAGAGAAAUGAAUUGUUAAAAUGUGAUAGCUAUUUGGAGGCCCAAGUUAAAGUCUAAGAAUAGAAAUAUUGGAGGCUAAAAUUUAGUUUUGAAGAGAUCCAAAAUUGCUUCCAAAAAAGCCCAAAAGGAAACCUAAUUUAGCCCUUAAGUUGAGCUAAAAUCAGCAGCCCAAUCAAAUUCCACGUAAGACUCAAAAGCAACAACAAAAACGAUCCAAUACAUUUUUAUUUCAACUCAAAUAUUACAGUUUGUUUCUUACACUGCCGCUAAAUAAUGAGUUUACUACUAAGUUGUAGAAUGAUUUUUUAGGGCUUUAUAAGGCAGAGUUUUCCUCCAUAUUCAUUGACCCACUAGCGCUGAAAAGUUAUUUCUCUCCUUAUUCUUUCAAGCUCUGUUCUCUCUCUGUAUUAGAGCCAUUAUAGACUUCAAAUCUUGUAUGAAAAGGCAUUUCAAUCCGUAGAUUCGAAAGGACUUCGUUUAACAUUAACUUAGAUGAACUUACUUAGUAUCUUCAAUCCUCAUUUUCUAGUCUGUAUUUCAUAUGAGCUUGAUCUUUGGUCUUCUUCAUUUUAACCGUCAGAUCUGCUUUUAUGAGCUUUGAUUCCAUUUUGUUUUGUUGUACAACCAUCUUUAUUUGGAAUCUUUCAUUCUUUCGAUGAGGUAUGUCUUUUUUGGGAUAAAUUGGGUGGCCUUUACAUCUUUAUAAGUUUAAAUAUUUUUAUAAUAUGUAUCCCAACUUUCUCUGAUGUUAUAAAUAGUGUAGUUCUUGACAUCUGUAGUAUGAUCUAACGACCUAAUAUCUUUCUUUUGUGAGUUUCACUAUUUUUUAUGAUAUAUCGUGUUUAGAUUCGAACUGUUAUGUUUUUUUCAUUAUUGCUCUCUUGAAAUUGCUCUAGUUCUAAUCCUAAAAAAUGUGAUGUGUUAUUUAUCAAUAUUUAAGAUCUUUUUAAUUAUGAUUAAUUGCUCAGCAAAAUAGUAAAAAUUAAGUUUAUUCAGACUUUUCAAAGCCCCUAAUAUCGUUGUUAUAAAAAUAGCACAAAUAUUUUCUAUUACCGGAGAGAAAUUGAAAGUCAUGAGUUUUUUUGAGAAACAAAAUUAAGAAUAAGAAAUUAAUAAAUAAGCUAGUUGGGGUAAUGUUAGUUGUGUUUUAUAAAGUUUUUUCUUGAAGAUUAAUUAGCUUUUUGUGAGUAUUUAAAUGACUUACUUUGGUAGCAGUGUGAUCUUGUAACUUUCUCAAUUUGAAAGUAAUAUAUAUCAUGCUUUUUAUUUUUAUGAAUUUCUGCGAUAAUUUUAGAGUUUGAUAGUUUGGUAUUUAUAUUUUUCACCAUGAGCUACAUAGAAGGUAGAAUUUAUAUUCUAUACCUACUUUCAUAUAAGGUAGAACACUGUGUAAGCUCUUUUAAAAGUUCAAUAGAAUUUAUUUAUAUAUUUUUUUAUAUUAUCAAAAUUAAUUUUUGUAUCUCUAUCUAUUAAAGCGUGAGUAAAAAUAUCGACAUUAUUAAAUUCUUAAUUAGUUAUGAAGUAAUGAAAUAUUAUCAUUUAAUAUAUACGUAUAAUCACAAAACUUAAAAGUGAAUUGAAGCAAAACUCAAAUAAUACAUAUUUCUUUUACUCGUACAAUUAAGAUCAAUUGCAGAAUCUAAAAAGGAAUGAAGAAAACUUGUUAAGUCUAGGUAUGAGUUAUAUUUAUCUCAAAAAAAUAUUUAAUUUAAAUAUAAUUGAGUUUCACUCCUAUAGCAAACUGUUGUGCUCACAUUAUGUUACGAAUGGAUCAGAUUGGAUCUCAAAAUUAAUAGUUGAUAGCCCAUUUUUUUCUAAUCUGCAUAUCAAACACAUAUUAAACAAUCAAGAAAUAUUAAUCAUAUAACUUUAUCUGCUUUAGAUGCUUAAAUUGUUGAGAGAAAAUGGCUUAUAUUAGUGAAAUUUUUGAGGAUCGUGGAUAUAAACACAUUAAUGUGAUAAUCGGUGUAAAAUUUAAAAUUAUAGAUUUUUAAGCACUCAAUUUGAGCAUUGGCAAUUAGACAAUUGUCUGUUUAUAUUAAGUUCUUCCCAACUCUAGUCAUAUAAGAGCUGCGAGGAUAAUGUAACUGCAUAUGAUGAAUCUAACUUCCUACAUUUUUGCAGAGAUCUUCUGAAGCAAAUGGGGAGUUUGUAGGUCCUCUAUGAACAGCGGGAAAGAAACAGUGUGGCGAACUUGCUAGCAAAGGAGGGCACAAAGUUAGGAAGUAACUGUUUUUGGAAGGAUUGGACAGUUCAGCCUUUGUUUGUUCGGGACCCGUACCAAGUAGACAAGGAUGGAACUUCUUGUGUAGGGCACUAUCAAGAUGCCCCUAGCUCUAGUUGUACUAGCUAUGCAUGUACUACAUGUACUACUAAUAUCUGUAGUAAUGACGUUAGGCCAGAACUUUCUCCGGCUAACCAUAAGCCGCCGACUUGUACUACCAAC
rnacentral:lncRNA from 1 species